GCUUCCCUGGCCGGCUCCCGCUGACAAGGUCUUGAAAAACAAGCUGGGAUCUGUCAGAACCUUAACAGGCACACGCCUCCUUACCGAAUCAGAGAAGACAGAUGGUGAAGGUACCAGAGGGGUGACCUGCUGAGGGACAAGCUCCUCGUGGAUGCUUCCAGAUCGCUGUCCUGCCUGCCCUUCCUGAAGCUCAUAGGUUCCCAGUAGCCUCCUGGGGCAACACCCAAAGCACAUCACCCUGUUGAGAACUACAAGGUCACAGCUAAGGGUCUUCAAUGAAUGCCCGCCCCGCACA